GACGAAUGCUGGCGGCGUGCCUAAUACAUGCAAGUUGAGCGAUGAAGAUUGGUGCUUGCACCAAUUUGAAGAGCAGCGAACGGGUGAGUAACGCGUGGGGAAUCUGCCUUUGAGCGGGGGACAACAUUUGGAAACGAAUGCUAAUACCGCAUAACAACUUUAAACAUAAGUUUUAAGUUUGAAAGAUGCAAUUGCAUCACUCAAAGAUGAUCCCGCGUUGUAUUAGCUAGUUGGUGAGGUAAAGGCUCACCAAGGCGAUGAUACAUAGCCGACCUGAGAGGGUGAUCGGCCACAUUGGGACUGAGACACGGCCCAAACUCCUACGGGAGGCAGCAGUAGGGAAUCUUCGGCAAUGGACGAAAGCCUGACCGAGCAACGCCGCGUGAGUGAAGAAGGUUUUCGGAUCAUAAAACUCUGUUGGUAGAGAAGAACGUUGGUGAGAGUGGAAAGCUCAUCAAGUGACGGUAACUACCCAGAAAGGGACGGCUAACUACGUGCCAGCCGCCGCGGUAA
rnacentral:rRNA from 1 species